CCUUCGAUAGCUCAAUGGGUAGAGCCUCCGCCUAAUAAGUGGACUGUCGCGGGUUCGAGUCCCGCUCGAAAAU
rnacentral:tRNA from 1 species